rnacentral:rRNA from 1 species
CAGUAGCCGCGGGAAUACGUAGGUGGCGAGCGUUGUCCGGAAUCAUUGGGCGUAAAGGGAGCGCAGGCGGGCAAGUAAGUCUUUCUUAAAAGUUCGGGGCUCAACCCCGUGAUGGGAAAGAAACUACAUGUCUUGAGUACAGGAGAGGAAAGCGGAAUUCCCAGUGUAGCGGUGAAAUGCGUAGAUAUUGGGAGGAACACCAGUGGCGAAGGCGGCUUUCUGGACUGCAACUGACGCUGAGGCUCGAAAGCCAGGGGAGCGAACGGGAUUAGAUACCCCCGUAGUCCCUGUCUCUUAUACA